rnacentral:lncRNA from 1 species
CUUGGAGUCUGGGUGGCCAUACAGUGAACAAACACGAUGCCUAAGAAGAUUACAGGAGAGGUGGGGAUGGCAGUGAUGAGCUGGAGGAAGAGCAGGCUUUAAUGGUGCCGCUAACGUUGCCUUUCCUUAAAAUGACUCGCAAUGCUCACAGACAUUCAGACCCCGGCGCUUAGAUCACGUCUCCGGCUUGGAACUCCCGCUGGUUUAGAAUCUCACUGCUGGGAAGCAUCACCUGUUCCUGGACCCGAAAGGCAGUGUGGUCAAGUGGUUACAGACUCAAGCCAGAGCUUCCUCCACGUUCCUGAGGGUGCACUGGUUUUCCUUCCUGUCUGGCCACACAAGCCUCUGGAGAGUGCCCAUCCAUCUUACAGGCUCACUUUGUAUUCUGUAAACUUUCAGUGUGAAAAUAAACGCAUUGCCUCCCUGUCAGAGCUCUACCGUGCAUGGGUAUUUCUUAAGAGCCAGGGCGGAUGAUACAGACAGACCAAGUAUUUCCAAGGAAACCAAAGGGGCAUAAUUGCUUCUUUCCAGGUAAUGUGGAUGCACCGGAUGGGGUCGGCUGCAUCACAGUGGAUCAUUUUCUUGUUAGCGUCUGGCCAGAGUGAUGUGAGGACCACGGGCUUCCUGAGUGAUGCUGCAUAGGCUCAUCUGCAAGUGACAAAGACCAAAAUGAAAAUAGAGCGUGGAGACACUAGCUGGAUGCUCUGCGUCCCCUUCAAAGACCCACGGUGGAUUUGUCUCCUGAGACAUACUAUUGCUGGGACUUUUUUUCUUUUCAUUGUCUUCUUAUCUUUUCAGAUGUCUUUUUUUUUUUUGUAUUUCAUUUUUACUCUGAGACAAAAGAUUUUUCUCUUUUUUUCCUCUCAGCGAUUAAAAUCUUUCCAUCAACCAGAUAUUCCUAAGGGAGAUACAUGAUGCAAGAUUUGGCAGGGUGGGGGUGUAAGUGUGCACUGAUGGAGAGAGCAGUCACGGAGUACAGACUGUCUGAUGACCUCAAAAUCAAGCCCCUGAUUAAUCACGAUCUGCCUAGACAAAGAAAUGGGAUCACAGACCCAUGAUGACAAUGACUUCCAUUAAUUGCAACGACCCUGUUUUAGCCUCAGGACCUUGCACUUGCUGUGUUUUCCACCAGGAAUGUGCUGCAGCCUGCGCUUGGUGUCUGUCUCACCAUUCCUUUCUCUACUUAAAUGUCUCCUAUUCUAGAAGACCAACCCUGAUUGUUCAAAAAGAACUUGCCUCUUUUAUUCUCAAUUCACCUUGUUUUAUCUGCCUCAUAGAAUUAGAGCUCUCUGAAAUUCCUAUUUGUGAAUGACUUUAUGGUCUAUUUCUCAUCUGUACAAAAUAAACUCCAGAGAGCAAGAACUUUGUCUUGUUCAAUGCUGUCUCAUCAGUGCCCAGAACAGUGCCCGACACAGGCACUAUCCUAAGUGCUUUAUGAUGAUGUGUCAAUGAUUCUUAAAUGACAGCCUUUCAUUGAAAUGGUUUCUGGGAGGUUAAUUUAUUUGUUCAAAAUCCCACCACUGUUAGUUAGUAGGAGAUAAGCCAUUCAAAUGGAGGCUUGUUGAGAUUCAAAGCCCAGGCUUUAAACAACCCUGCUAAACUGCCUCCCCUAGCAUAGAGCAUUCAUCUUGGAAGUGGUUUGGGCCAUUGUGUUGCCAGGCUUCACUAGAAUGUGAGCCCUGGAGAGCCAGAGACGGAGUCUGUUGCAUCCACAGCACCCAGCACUGUUUGCCACGUGGUAGACAUUCAAUGAACAGUAAAUGCUCAAACAGUAUUUGUAGAUAGAUGGACAGAUGGGUGAGUGGGUGGAUGGUUGAAUGGAUGGAUGGGUGGAUGAAUGAAUGAAUAGAAAAGAGGGAGAAAAGAAGAUAGAAAGGGAGGACAGAAGGAAGGGUAGGUAGAGGGAUAGCUGAAUUGUUGGAUGGAUGCAUGGAUUCGUGAAUAUAUGGAUGAGUAGGUGGGUGUAUGGAUAGGUGGGUAGAUGAAUAGGGAAACAGAAUCCCAGAGAGACUGGUGACUCACUUAAUAUCACACAGCAAGUCAGCAGAGGGAGGAGAAAUCCAAACUCAGGGCCCCUAUCCUAGUGCUCACUCUCUCACAACACCAAAUAUUUGAGAAUGAAAUUGAAUGUUUUCCUUACAGUCUAGGUAGGUAUGAUAAUGGCGAUAAUUGCUCCAACUGUGUAGCAAAAAACUGGGCUAAAUGCUUUAGUCCAUUAGUUCAUGGGAUCUUCUCUAGAACCCUAGGAAAUAAGUGCUGUAAUAGCCCCUCAUCCUCAAGGACAUUAUUAUCCAUUUAUGUCAAUCACUCCAUGUGAUAAGUGUUAUUUUUAUCCCUACUUCUCAAAAGAGGAAAAUAAAGCUCAGAGAGGUUAAGUAACUUGCCCUUGUCAUCCUGUAAGGAAGAGGUGAGGCUAGGAUAUAACCCUUUGCCACCACUGUACUAAUUUUAACCGCAUAAGAGCUGAUGCUCUGUUUAUCACAUGGCAAAAUACAAGGCGAAUAGAAUUGUAGGCACACACCAUCUAAUCAGCAGAGAAGCUAAAAUUAUCUCCCCAGGCGGCAUUUGGGUAGCAGGAAGCUCACCCUGACACCAGAAACUAGGCAGGAAGGGCCCUAUUAGAUAGACCACAGCCCGGGCAAAAGGUAAACCAAGUGUAUGAUAUCAAGCAAGUUACUUUGCCUCCCUGAACCUCAGUUUCUUCAUCUGUAAAAUGGCUAUCAAAAUGUGAUGGAUGAAGAUUUUUAUCUGCAAGCUGUUCUAGUCCCUCUCAGAAUUCUAUUCCUAUUAGGCUAUUUCUUCUUCCAAAAAUAGUCUUCAUAUUGUUCCUAAAUAAUCACUUUGCAUUCCCAACACCACACUCUCAGACAAUCAGGUCUGCAUCCUGUUUUCUCAAAACUUUCCUCUGUGCCUUGUUUUAGCCAGCAAAUGGAAUGAGUAAAUCUCCACCCACAUGUUCAACGGGUUAAUGGUUUACAGUGCCACUUCUUCCUCAUAAGACACCUGCAUGCAAGAAAUGAUCUAGGAAUUCAAUGUACUUACCAAAGGUAGUAACCCCGUGGGUGCACUUUUAGUGACUGUGGCCCUUCUGGUUGUGAGGAGGAGUUGAAGC